GAUGGACUCUGUUUGACCUCCAAAUCGUCUACUGAGUCCAGAGGGUGUGCCUCACCUUACAGAGGAGAUUCUGAGUGAUGCUGUGAAGUUUUGAGUGAUGAACCAUUGAAAAAUUAAGUAUAAAAACAUUUCAUAUUUAAUUUUAUUUAUGCAUGUUAUAUGUAGUACAUAAAUUGCCAUAGUUCUUUUGGUCCAAUGUUUUUAUUUUAAGGUCUGGAGAUGAGAGUCUGAUAAAACUUUGCACAGAGAGGGAAGGCAGAACUCUUUUAUCUUACUUUGGAGCAUGUUUGAAUGGAGGUAUAAACAAUGAGAAAAGGAUGUUUUGAACGCCUUUGAUUUUGAUUUCACUUCCCAUUCUAAAUGAAAAAUUAUUGGCCCUUUUUGUUGACUUUGGUAUUUUAAAGGUAAAUUUAAAAUUUUAAUUUAGUGCAAAUGUUUCUCACUGUUUUUGCAAAGACUAGUAUCCCAAACUGGAAGAGGCUCUCUGCAUUUAAUUUCCUCUCAGGAAGUUUACCUUCAAAAGUCCAAACGUCAGGUCAAGCUUUGGGUUGCCGGAAAUGGUAAUGUCCUUUACUGUCUGAGCACCCAGCCAAGCCUUAAUGAGACAUCUUACUUUGUGGACAUUGUUACAGGUGCUGUGAACCCUUCUCCCUUCCUAAAAACCAAAGUGUGUUGCAAGCCAAAAGAAUGCAAGCAUUAGAACUCAUCUACUUUAAGCAAAACAGUUGCAAGCUGCUGCUGCUGAAUUAUGAGCCUGACUGAAUCAUCUGCAGAAGAUAGCUUUGUUUUUGCAAAACGCCUGGAAUGUGGUAUAUAGAUUGUGGUAUAUAGCUUUCUGAUACUGAGAAAACAUGAAUAAAUAUGCAAGAGUGA